GAGUCGGUACUAAAUCCAAAAUCCCCAAAUUACUGGGAAGGAAAAACAAAUUAAAUUUCAACGACAGGACUGAGUAAAAGAGAUUUCAAAUCUUUCUUUCCGAUAAAAAAAAAACAUUCUCAGCAAUUAUCUCGUCAUCCAUGGAAUACAACAGAUACUCUGCUGCUAUCUAAAUAGGAGAAUCAGCAGCCGAGCUUGACCAAAAACACUGAGCAGACUCGUCCGGCAAAGAUAGAGAAGAGAGUACCUGGUUCUCAGAACAGGGCUGAUGAUGUAUUCUACACAAGGGCAAUUGACGAGGUAUAUACGUAUCCUGGUUGCAUCAUAUGCUUUACUUGAAAGAAUGUUCAUGCUGCCCAACUAUAAGUAUUAAAGGGGCAAUUACAAGGUGUCUAAUUUUGCUGCUCAAAGUCAAACCUCAUUUGUCUCAUUGACUUGUAUUCCUGCUCCCAGGUAAAUCUAAAAGGCCCUACUACUCCUUUUAUGUUCUUCAAACCUUGUUAGUAGUAUGUAUACUAGUAUGAAACAGAGAUAGGAAGUGUUUGGUUAUGCUUAAAGAAACUUAGAGUUAAUCCAGAGAGAGAAUAAGGAAACAGCGUAGUAAUGUUUGCAUUAAGUGUGAGAGAUGGAGGUGGAAAUAAAUUUAAUUUGUAUUUAUCAUAUGACGUAAUACCCUCAUAAUUCUUCAACCGUCUCAAUUACUCUUGCAUUUAAUUGUUUUUAUGGAAAUCCAAUCCAAAAUAGUGAUCCCUUCUUCUUUUCAAUGCUGAGACCUAACUUCCAUCCUCAACAAACAAGCCCUAAUUUUUCUCCUAGCUUCACUUUAAUUAAUUUCCACUUAAUAGCGCCAUCCAUCUGUCCUCUGUUUCUCUCUCUAUCACAAGCUCAUCUACACUAAUUUGGUUCUGAAUAUAAAAAAAUUUGAUUGGAAAUGAAAAGAGAAAAACCAGGGAUUACAGUUACAGACAUGGGUUUCGAGUUAUAUUUAGUAGUGAUUUUGAUUUGUUUAUCUUUAAAUCACUUUCUAUCCACGUCUUAGAUUUGAAUGCAUACUUUUGUUGUUAUUAUUUUACAGUUAGAAAGAUGGAUAGAAAUUUAUAUAGGAAAAAGACCAAAGAUUGCUUUAAGGUAAAGUUGAUAAAAGUUUCUACCAACUCUUAAUGAGUAUUCUCUUAAUUGUUUACUUGUAUACCCAUGUACUCAAAUUCAAUACCUUCACAUGCUCUUGUUUUCAUUUUCAUUUUCUUUUCUCCAAAAUUUCUAGAGAGAGAGGGUCCGAGUUAAGAGUUAUAGAGACAGAGAGAGAAUAAGAAGUUAAGCCGUACACAACAUUUGAUCAGAAAAUUUAGGCAGUUUAAGUCAGUUUCAUUCUACAAAUGUUUACAGCUAAAGAGGAGUAGAAAACAGAGAAACAGACUCUUAAGACUUAGAAACUAUAAUCUGAUCAAAAGAAAAAAAAAAAAA